UCGUACUGAGUUUAGGUUUUGGAUCCUCUGCAUCUAGUGCAGAACGCAGCAGGCUGUCUUUCCUUUUCUUCCACUUGUUGCCUCGGCAACAUCUGCAUACAGGAAACGUUUCCCACCAGGAUUUCCUCUAAAUGUUCUCCAGUAAAUUCAUUUUCACACAGUCUGGUCUCCAGAAAUAUCAAAGCUGAACAAUCAAAUAUUUAUUUAGGUUUUUGGUUUGUUCUCAUCUCCGUUUUAUUCAGAGCACUUCCUCUGCAGACGGCUCACUCUGUGGACAACCAGUUACUAAUAAAUUAAACAUAAAUAUGAAGAAUGGAGACACGGCUGAAAGCGUCAGCUGUCUGACGGGGUAGGAGGCAAUCAUGACCCCAAGGAGAGGCUGGUUGUUACCGCUCUGCUCAUCGUCUCUGAGCAGAUUGAAAUAUAACCAUCAGAUGGGCUCCGUCCAUCAGGCAGAUUGAUUCAUGCUGCAGUGAAUGAAGCAGUUUGAAGAUCAGCUGCAGCCUGAGAGCCUGAAGGCUGUGAAGUUUAAAUGAAAGCAGAAAUGCUGUGACAUGGUGAACUAAUCAGCACUUCCAGAGCCUCAGUGAGGAGCGGAGCUUCUUGCCUGUCUGCCUCCAUAAGGCUCAUGAGAGCAGCAGGCGAUCCCGGUGUGUGUCAUGUCUCUAUUCGCCACCAGAAGGCGCCACAGUGAGAGCAGCACGUCGGCGGUGGAACCAGCGAGUCAGAAGCUCUUCCUGUGUGUCAGAAUCCCUCUGAGCGGUUUUAGGAUUGGUUAGGAUGAGUGGGCCGGCUCCGCUCAGUGGCACCAAACCUCAGAUUGUUCCUAUCAAUCAUUUCACUGAAUAAAACUCACAUGCAUCAUCAUUUUAAAUGACAAAA